rnacentral:rRNA from 1 species
CCAAGCUCAAAUGGGUGUUUAGUGGCGGACGGGUGAGGAAUACAUCGGAAUCUACCUUUUGGUGGGGGAUAACGUACGGAAACUUACGCUAAUACCGCAUACGCCCUUCGGGGGAAAGCCGGGGGACCACCCAUGGCCUGGCGCUGAUAGAUGAGCCGAUGUCGGAUUAUUUAUUUGGUGAGGUAAUGGCUCACCAAGGCCACGAUCCGUACCUGGUCUGAGAGGAUGAUCAGCCACACUGAAACUGACACACGGUCCAGACUCCUACGGGAGGCACAGUGGGGAUUAGGGACAAUGGGCGCAAGCCUGAUCCAGCCAUACCGCGUGGGUGAAGAACGCCUUCGGGUUGUAUAUCCCUGU